GAUCUCAACGAAACCAUUUUCCGAAUUUGCGAAUCGCGCAUCACGAUAAAUAUUAAAAUAUAUUCAAUCUGGAAUAUUUCGAAAUAUAUUUGUUAGUCUAAUAACUGGUCUACAUGAAUAUGUAUGUAAGUACUGACUAUAAAUUGUGCAAAUACUUAUGGACAGUUUUCCGGUAGUACACAUUCGUUAGUGGCUUCGUUUCGUAAAGUACCUCCGACACACUGACAGCUGGGGCCGGAAACGCAUACCUGAAGAACAUUUAUCGAUAACGUUAGAACACAAAUACGCAGCUAUUUUAUGCCUUGACCGAUUCGAGAUAAGCUGCCCUCCAUGUCCGGUUUUGGGAUCGCUGUACUCCGACUGUUCGAGCUGCCCUACUUUCGUUCGUGUAAGAAGCGGAGAUUGGUUUAGACGUUACAUCGUCCAUACGAUAGAGGGUCAGCUGUUUCCUAUUGUGCAGCUAAUUACAUCAGGGAUCCAGGGACUGGGAUAUAGCUGCACCGAAAUUAACUAAUCUACCGAUGAAAGAACCUACGCCACUAAACGCUCCACUGCAUAAACUCGUAUCGUAGGAGGUUGGCCUUUUGAUACCCCAUAUCCCCGUGGUGUAUUCGCGGAGAAUGCAGCGAACUGCAUCGAUGGAAAUUUGAUUGCAGCAAGGUCGGAUUUGCGACGUCUAUUGUUACCCAGAGAACGGAAUUUCAAAUGAAC
rnacentral:misc_RNA from 1 species